rnacentral:rRNA from 1 species
GAUGAACGCUGGCGGCGUGCCUAAUACAUGCAAGUCGAGCGAACAGACGAGGAGCUUGCUCCUCUGACGUUAGCGGCGGACGGGUGAGUAACACGUGGAUAACCUACCUAUAAGACUGGGAUAACUUCGGGAAACCGGAGCUAAUACCGGAUAAUAUAUUGAACCGCAUGGUUCAAUAGUGAAAGACGGUUUUGCUGUCACUUAUAGAUGGAUCCGCGCCGCAUUAGCUAGUUGGUAAGGUAACGGCUUACCAAGGCAACGAUGCGUAGCCGACCUGAGAGGGUGAUCGGCCACACUGGAGCUGAGACACGGGCCAGACUCCUACGGGAGGCAGCAGUAGGGAAUCUUCCGCAAUGGGCGAAAGCCUGACGGAGCAACGCCGCGUGAGUGAUGAAGGUCUUCGGAUCGUAAAACUCUGUUAUUAGGGAAGAACAAAUGUGUAAGUAACUAUGCACGUCUUGACGGUACCUAAUCAGAAAGCCACGGCUAACUACGU